rnacentral:rRNA from 1 species
ACUCCUACGGGAGGCAGCAGUGGGGAAUAUUGCACAAUGGGCGCAAGCCUGAUGCAGCCAUGCCGCGUGUAUGAAGAAGGCCUUCGGGUUGUAAAGUACUUUCAGCAGUGAGGAAGGUGGAGUCGUUAAUAGCGGCCUCAUUUGACGUUAGCUGCAGAAGAAGCACCGGCUAACUCCGUGCCAGCAGCCGCGGUAAUACGGAGGGUGCGAGCGUUAUCCGGAUUUAUUGGGUUUAAAGGGUCCGUAGGCGGAUUAAUAAGUCAGUGGUGAAAUCCCAUCGCUUAACGAUGGAACUGCCAUUGAUACUGUUAGUCUUGAAUGAGGGUGCAGUGGUUGGAAUGUGUAGUGUAGCGUGAAAUGCAUAGAUAUUACACAGAACACCGAUUGCGAAGGCAGAUCACUAACCCUAAAUUGACGCUGAGGGACGAAAGCGUGGGGAGCGAACAGGAUUAGAUACCCUGUAGUGUACUG